CACAGGGACUCAAAAAGAAAAAUAAUAUAUAAUCCCCCAAUUAACAUUAACAACCUUCCUUCACCACCAUCAUUCACCUUCCUUAUUCAAUACCCAACUCGAAACCCUAGCCCUUUAAUCCCCAAAUCCAAGUUGUAUAGUGUAAAAUAAGUUGGGGUUUUUUAUCUAUAUUAAAAACCGAAUCAUUUGAUACCAAUAACACGUAUCGGUUGCGAGUAAAAGAAGAAACAGAAGAAAUCCGGCAAAGUUCUGCAAUUUCGGCAACCAGGAACAACUUUCGGAUAACCACAAUCAAUCUAUCCAAUAUUUGGAAUAUGAGACAAAUCGGAAAUGAACAAGUAUUACUCAAAACAGAGUAUAAAAAAAUCUAUACCCAUGGUGGAGCCGAGAGGACAAUCGGUGCGCCGACGGGAGCCGACUCACUCUCACGAGAUGAUUUGCGCUCCUUCAUGGUGGAGCUGACUCACAUUCUCCGGCGUGUGAAUGUGACGGAAUGAGAAGUGGUGACCGUUAUUACAUUCUCCGGCGUGUGAAUGUGACUCACCUUUGUUAAUUUACCAUUUUAAUUUCUUCACUUCUAAAAUGUAACAAGUACAUAAAAAUUAUUUAAUUUGCUUGCACUUAUAGUUAAAUUAUAUUUUAUA